rnacentral:rRNA from 1 species
AUUGAACGCGAGGCGGCAGGCCUAACACAUGCAAGUCGAACGGUAACAGGAUUGCAGCUUGCUGCUUUGCUGACGAGUGGCGGACGGGUGAGUAAUGUCUGGGAAACGCUGAUGGAGGGGGAUAACUCUGGAAACGGUGGCUAAUUACCGCAUAACGUCGCAAGACCAAAGAGGGGGACCUUCGGGCCUCUUGCCAUCAGAUGUGCCCAGAUGGGAUUAGCUUGUUGGUGAGGUAACGGCUCACCAAGGCGACGAUCCCUAGCUGGUCUGAGAGGAUGACCAGCCACACUGGAACUGAGACACGGUCCAGACUCCUACGGGAGGCAGCAGUGGGGAAUAUUGCACAAUGGGCGCAAGCCUGAUGCAGCCAUGCCGCGCGUGUAUGAAGAAGGCCUUCGGGUUGUAAAGUACUUUCAGCGGGGAGGAAGGUGUUGUGGGUUAAUAACCGCAGCAAUUGACGUUACCCGCAGAAGAAGCACCGGCUAACUCCGUGCCAGCAGCCGCGGUAAUACGGAGGGUGCAAGCGUUAAUCGGAAUUACUGGGCGUAAAGCGCACGCAGGCGGUCUGUCAAGUCGGAUGUGAACCCGGGCUCAACCUGGGAACUGCAUUCGAAACUGGCAGGCUUGAGUCUUGUAGAGGGGGGUAGAAUUCCAGGUGUAGCGGUGAAAUGCGUAGAGAUCUGGAGGAAUACCGGUGGAAGGCGGCCCCCUGGAACAAAGACUGAUGA